rnacentral:rRNA from 1 species
CUUGGUCAUUUAGAGGAAGUAAAAGUCGUAACAAGGUUUCCGUAGGUGAACCUGCGGAAGGAUCAUUAUUGAAUAAGUUGAGAGGUUGAAGCUGGCUCUUCGGGGCAUGUGCACACCUUUCAAACUCAUCUCAACCACCUGUGCACUUUUUGUAGACCUGGAAAAUGGAUGUCUUUGAGGGCUUGCUGGCUCUUUAUUGAAGUCAGUUAGUUCCCUUUGCCAUUUCCUGUGUCUAUGUUUUUAUAAUACACUCUCUUUAAAAUGUCAUAGAAUGUCUUAUGGAUUGAAAAAUUUAUACAACUUUCAACAACGGAUCUCUUGGCUCUCGCAUCGAUGAAGAACGCAGCGAAAUGCGAUAAGUAAUGUGAAUUGCAGAAUUCAGUGAAUCAUCGAAUCUUUGAACGCACCUUGCGCUCCUUGGUAUUCCGAGGAGCAUGCCUGUUUGAGUGUCAUAAAAUUCUCAACCUCGUUCAGCUUUUUGUUGAGUUGCAUGAGGCUUGGAUUGUGGGGGAAUAUGUGGGCCUUUUAUAAAGUCGGCUCCCCUUAAAUGUAUUAGCGGAAAAACCUUGUGGACCGCCCUUUGGUGUGAUAAUUAUCUACGCCAUGGUCGUGAAGCAGCUUGUGUAUUUCAGCUUCAAAUGGUCCUUUUUAAAAAGGACAAAGACUUGAACAUUUUGACCUCAAAUCAGGUAGGACUACCCGCUGAACUUAAGCAUAUCAAUAAGCGGAGGA